UCAGAGAUAAGAGUUAGGGUUUUUGAGUGACAGAGGAGAAGUUCAAGAUUUAGGGUUCUUGAAUGAGAGAGAGAUGAGUGAGAGGCUGGAAUGAAUUGUGUAGAAUGAUCGAGAAAAUGGUAGGUGGGGAAUGAUUCCAAGAAUAAAAAAAAAGGAGGGAACCCUAAUGUAAUUAAUGAUUGUUAGGUUAGUAGUUAGAAUAAUUAAUAAGGUAGGUGAGUUAAUUGUAAUGGCAAUAUUGUAAUAAUUCAGUUUUUUUUUUUCCAUUUGUGGAAGUGUGUCACUUAUUAUGACUAUUCCUUAAUAGGAAAGUGACUCACUUAAAAAGAAACGGAGGAAGUAUAUUUUUAGGUGUUUACUACUUACCAGUCUUUUUCUAAAUGUUGCUUAAAGAACAAUUUCUUUUGGUGCUGGCUUCUUUGUUUUAAUAGGAUGGCAAGUAGUGUGAAUGAUAUUGGAGUCAUAUGGAUUCCUCGUACUGUUGAGGGUCCUCGUUUGCAUCAUGAAGAUGUAAUGAAAGCACCUAAAGAGAGUGUGAAUGGGGUUGUUCUUUGAAUGAUGAGAAGAGGGAAUUUGGCAAGGAUCAUUGUAGUACAUCCCGUGGUAAAGAUGUCUACGAAGUUAUGCUUAAUAUCUCUACUAAUAAAAUCAGGCACUCUGUUGAGGACGGCUCACACUCAUUGAGUCAGACUCGAGUUGUUUUUUCAUUGGAUUCUAUUGAAGGAGAACACGUUGGUGGCUCUGACAAUAGUUUGCAAAGUGAAAUGAAUAUAUUAACUACAAGUGGUGCACCUUGCUUAUUAGGGAAAGCACAGGAACUACCUACAUUACAUCCUUCAACAAGGCUGUAACUUAUACACUGUUCAAUGCAGAAUUCUUUCUGCAAUCAUUUUCAGUUGUUCAGUUGAAUUGGUAGUUUUGGCUUUGUGGAAGAAGGCAUUACGAAUUUGCAACUCUUGGCUGCCACGAAGUGGUCUAUCCGAUAGCUCUUCAGGAAAGAAGUCCACUGGUAAAGGAGCUGCAAGUUCUUCCUUAGAAACAGAAGACACCACAGACUUCAUGAAUCCUUCCUCGGUAUCUAUCUGGGCCGAGCAAGGCUUUAUUAAUGCAUAUGAUGGAACAGAAAAGCUAUUCAAGUAUCUGCAGGACUUGUAUUGUAAAAUUUAUUUUGGGAUUAUUUUAUUGAAAACUAAACAUUUAUCUUAUAAACCAAAUCUAUAAACCAUUUUCUCUCCCCUCCCUU